rnacentral:lncRNA from 1 species
UUUUGACAGGCAAAGUUGGAUGUGUUACUGCCAGUUUUUGAGAGGGACUGCGCAACAGUCAACCUGAUGUCAGCCUUCCAACAAAUUUCCAGGGGGUUUGCGUGCACAACGAGUCUUACCAUUUGUGCCUGCACACACGUAGAGAGAGAGCACAGAGAAUGUGGAAAUGAUUUAAAGUUUUCUGAUAAAUUUUAAAGCUUCAUGGAAGAGCACAAACAAGUUGAAGUUGUCCAAAAGAUUAAACAUGAAAAGUAUUCUAGUCUACUUAGAGAAAAAUGCUCAAAGAGUGCUUUGCC